CGAGGUAGAUCACCGCUGCCCAUAGCGGCGCCGUCGUCGGAGCAUGGCAGAGCCGCCGUGCCAGAAUUUUGAAAUUGGCCGAGUAGGUCCUAGGUCUGAUUUUUGGGUUAUUUGGGACAUGUGUAGGUACCGUAAACGCGUUUUAGUUUCCGAGAAAAAAUUUAGGAAACUUAGUGAGUGCCCCCGUAGGCGCAGUAACAAUCUAGUUUUCGGCGUCGAA
rnacentral:lncRNA from 1 species